GUCAUGAUAACUCAGUUGGUUAGAGGAUGGAGCUAAGACCAAGGUUGCAGGUUCGAUUCUUGCAAGAGACA